UACAAAGUAAAACAAUGACAGUUAAGUUAUUAAUUAUGUAAAUGGGGUGGGUUCGGGAGGGGUUUCCCCUCCCGACAAGCAAUGUUAAUAAAACCUUUUUUCUCCUGCAUAUAAUCAGAAAAUGCGGGGUCAUCAGUUCAGCACAAAAACAGUGGCGGUUUUUGCAAUAUUUUUCAUUUUUUUAACAUGCUUGUAGGUGUGCAAUUUACUCUUCCUAACAGCUAAAACAGCUGAAAUAGAAUAUGGUAGAGAAAUAUUUUCUUCUCAAUUUGUUCUUAAAACACAGUCUAUAUGAAUUACUAAAAAAACAAUAUUGUUCAUGUAAAAUUAACAAGACAUUUACAAUGCCAGCUCUAAUAUAGUAAAGCAUAGGCAUAGCAAAAUUCAAAACAUUUUUAUUAUAUAUGCUUUGUGGUGAUUUAUAGACAUUUAUAAACAAUAAAAACAAUCCUUCACUGUUUCAAACAUAUUGAUAUAUUUUUUACUGUGUGAAAUUAAAGCCAGCUCUCAAAUAGAUAUUGAAUCCCAUCAAUUUAAACUGGUAUGCCAGAAAUGUGUUGAUUGAGUAUGUUGUAUAGGCUAUAAGGGUGUCAAUUAUUGUAUGUUUGAGUAGGUGUUGUGCGGUUAUUUAUUUUCAUUUCUUAUUAUUUUAAACAGACCCGGGAGGAAACGAUGAUGAACCAGCCAGACAGCCAGCCCGCCACCCGGCCGAGCCAUACUUGGCGUAUGCCAUGCCAGCCUGGUUGCUGUAGCCACAGAGGAAUUUUCAAGGACAAGAACCAGUGCUGGUCAAAAUGUGGUCUCGUGUGGUUUUCCAUACCGGUUCUCGGCAACGAUUUCCGAGAAAGGAAUACCGUCUCCAAAUCAUGAUGUGCCAAUAAGCUCCAGUUAGCUGCGGCUUCCCCCCCCCCCGGCGGUAGUCCUGCAAUCUGAAUCCAGGAGAUGCAGCUCUGAAUCCAAUAAUACAGAAGAAUGAAGAUUAUGUGUUGCAUAUAGACUGCAUAUAGCCUGAAGUUGAACUAUAGGAAUUUUGAAGUAUGUUUCUGAAAAACUGUUGCUUCAAUAGGCUCAAGACCACAGUUAUCUGCCCCCCGUUGACUAAGAUCCGGAUGUGAAUACAGAAAAAAGAGUGCUUGUGUUCAAGUAUCAAUAUUUUAUUAAAGUUGCAUGAAAGAGAAGAAAUAGGUGGCAUAGAGCUUAACAUAAUUUGACACUGUAUUGCAAAAACUGAUAGUUUUUUGUGUAAAAAUUGGAAAAAUCAUUGUCGGUGGAACUAUGAAAAUUGCUUACAUGUAUUAAAAUGUAUUGUGAAUCUGGUUACAACCGGUGUUUGCCUUAUUUCUAAACGACAUUUCCAAAAAAUGACAGCUAAUGUAAACAAACAAUAAUUACAGAAUGAAUUGAUUAAACUUGAAAGUUGUGUUAUGGUAAAAAUCUUAUAUAUGUAUAUAAAUGUAUCCGUGUAAUAAAAUAAAUAUUUCAUGGCUUCAAGUGUGACAGUACAUAUUGUCAACAUUCGGGUAAAUACUGUACUGUCACACUGGAAGCCAUGCAAUAUUUAUAUAAUGUCAUAUUUUAGGAUAUAACUCAGAACAAAAAACAUCAAGAAGACUUUAUAUAUCAAAGUAAUAGCACUAUUUUUGUCAUAGUUUAGCGAUAGGGUUUCUAUCCUAUUUUUAUCAGAAAUUAAACAGCUUUUUAUGUAAUUUAUUUUCUAACAUGUGUUAUACCUUUUUUUCAUUUAUUGUGAUAUCUGAUGUUAAAGCUGCACUCUCACAGAUUAACGUUUUUGACAACUUUUUUAUUUUUUGUCUGAAUGAACAAGUUUUUGCAUAAAUAUCUGCAAACCAAUGAUAAAAGACUUCCGACAAAAGAUCAGAUCGCAGCUUUUCAUAUUUCCGUCCCAAAAACGAUGUUUUAUGGAUUUUUAUUAAACCGUUAGUAACGGUACAAGUCAUAAAACAUUAUAUUUGGAAUGGUAAUAUGAAAAUCUGCGAUCUGAUCUUUUGUCAGCAGUCUUUCAUCACUGGUAAGCAGAUAAUUACAAAAAAAAAUCUAAUUCCAAGACAAAGAAUAAAAAAAGUUGUCAAAACAGUAAAUCUGUGAGAGUGCAGCUUUAAGUAAUAGCAAAACUUUUAUGGCAUUUUGAUAUUUUCCUCCAUAAUCGAUUUUUCUUUAUUAUAUAUCAAUGCUUUAAAGGAAAACAAUCAAAAGCAAAAAGUACUUGCUUUAGUUCAUGUACAAACAGGAAAGUUAUUAACAACUUCUAAACUUGACAAACAUUACAUUACAUUACACUGCUUAAUUAAGACCAUGUAGUUUCUUUCACAAUUCUAAUUACAGACUUAUUCUACAAUUAUACUUACUAUAAACAAAACACUUAUGUGAUGGAAAUAUAGUGCAUAUAUUGAAAUGUGCUUUAAAAAAUAUACUAGUUACUAGUUUUUUUUGAAAAUGGAAGUAAACCCCUUAAAUCUUUUGGUUUGAAGUUUUAAUAAAAGUUGAGUAAUGUUCUUAUGUUUGACCUCAAUGGGCAAUUUAUUGCAUUCAUAUUUUUCCUUAACUUUUAUUUUAUUUUUAUUUUUUUCUGUGUAAACAAUAUAGUUUUUUUCAAAUGUGAUAAUGCUCUUGACAAAUAUUAAAAAGAAUUGUUUUAUUGACUGUUUAUCAGGGAUUAUACUCAUGCAUUUGGUCAAAGGAAUGUUUUACUGAUGUUGCAGUUAAAUCGACAUAUUUUAUGAAAUGAAUAGUGUUGAAGUUAAGUCUUCAAAUAUGAGUAUUGAAUGUUAUUGCUACAAGAAUAUAAUAAAUCACCUUAGUGCAAUAACUCAAUAACUGCAUAUAGAUAUAGAAGCAGAUAUUGUGUUCUUGCACCAAGGUGACCAUAUAUUCAUCUUUUACUUUUAAAAAAAAAUGUCUUUAGUAUCAGCUGAUUGCUCAUGUUUUAUCCUCAUUAUUAUUAUAUGCUACCUAGUUCUUGUUUAUAAUAAUUAAUAAUUUGUCUACUGCAACAUAACUGUAUGAUUAUCACAUUACUCAUUUACAAUGGCCAUGUGCAUAUUUAUCUCAUAUUUUAUAGCUUUAGUUUAUAAAUGUUUGUAGAUAGUGUAUCUAUGUAAAUUAAGGACUCAUGAAUAAACUGUGAAAUACUUA